CGGGAAGUAGCUUAGCUUGGUAGAGCACCUGGUUCGGGACCAGGAGGUCGUAGGUUCAAAUCCUGUCUUCCCGACCA
rnacentral:tRNA from 1 species